rnacentral:lncRNA from 1 species
GCGUGAAAGAGCUUUUAUUCAUGGAAACUAGCAGAGGAUUGAUAAAGCAGAGUAAUAAUACUGGACAGUUAGCAUAGAUACAGAGAGAAAAAACAACAUGAAUCAAAUCUAGAAGAACACAAUGGCUUCUGGUCAAAAGCUUGCAUAGACGUCCCUACACUGCAGCGUAGAGAGAGAUGUGUGUGUGUGUGUGUGUGGACAUUAAAGGAGCUCCAACAACACAAUAUAAAUUUAAAGUGACAGCCUCUUCAGUCUGAAGUCCAUCAUCAUCCUUCAGACCCUCAAACUGAGCCUGUUAGAUAAAUUAAAGGAGUUAUAUACAACGAGAACUGAGACAGGAGCAUGAUGGGAAGAAGGUGGAGUAGCUACACAGGUGAGGGAGAUCAGGUAUGAAGCCAUGCAUUGGGUCAGAUCGACGCUGAUCCAGGACCAGCUGAGCCCACAUCUGUUGAUUAGAUCCAGAUGACAGGGUCUGAGCCGGGUCGGGUGGUUUCGGAUGCGAGGCUUAAAAACUCGGAGCCGGCAGGUUGAAAGAGUGCUUUGCUAAUUUUCAGUGAUAGCCCUUUAAUUUUAAAGUGAAGCUGCGUUUCAUCAAGAGUUCAACCUCUCAGUCCUCCCCUCAGGUGUCCUGCUCUGAGACACAGAGGUGAAUAUUUUGGCUUCAUCAGCAAAGACAGGGGCAUGUCGUCCAUGUUGAUAUUCAGUCAAAGGUGGGAGCUACCUUUGUGCAAACUCUUCGUUACUGUACGACUUUGAAUUUAAACACAAAUCUCUGGACUUCAUCUUCUGGACAAUCUUUUGGUUUCAUAGGUCGACACGAGGGGAAAUAAAGUUUUGUUGUCUGCACUAAAACUCCUCUGCAGGUCGUUUCUAAGAGCUUCUUCUGCACCAAAUUUGACUCUCUGUGUAAAUGCAUGAAAAUCUGGUUGCAGGGAAAAGUGACGCAGCAGCAUCCGUGUAAUUCCUCCUCCUCUGACUGCAGAUCAAAGAUAUAUUUGUGAAGGAGGAGGCUUUCACAGGUGGAGGAGCUGAGGCGAAGUGAACGAGGUGCAGAGAACUCCUAAUGAAACGCAGCACACCUGUUUUCGAGUGUGACAAACACACCUGAGCGGCUGAGCGGGUGACAUCCAGGCGGAGCUUCCUCUUUCCUCCUCCCGCUCUUCCUCGCUCCUUUCCUGCCUCUUUGAAGGUAGUACAGAAAUAUUUCGAGCCCUUGUUUGAAGAAGUACUGAACCGCUUUCUCUGCGCGGUUCAUCGAGUUUGUGCUCUCCCAGGCAGGAGAGGAGCCCGUGAAAAAGACUUGGUCUAGAUCGAUGAGGACGAGCGAACUUCAGUCUCUGCAGACCCAUUUCAUGAGUAGUGGUCUGAGUGUUUGUAAGUAGUUUUCCCUCAAAGGGCCACUGUUCCAGUUUGACAGAAAUCAGUCUUCUUCUUUGUUUAACACUGAAGUAAUCCGACUCCACAAAGCGCGACGUCAAAUCAAAGGCACAUUCAUGAGAUUAACUUUUUGCUACGUGUGCCCUCUGCUCCCUUUUUUCCAAUCAUCCUUUAGUUUAACCUGAGUUUUCUUCUUCUCCCUUAUAUCCUUUAUUUCUCACCGAGGGACGAAAACACAGAGAGAGUGAACUUGGAGAGAUUCAGACUUUGUUUCCAAACAUGUGAUUUCAGAUUUAUGACGACAUGAGCUCCAAAGAUGCCGUUUCAAAGGGAUGGAGGGGUUAACAGCACACCUUUGACACUUAACUGACAAUCACUCCACCGAGUGGAGGAUUCAGAAGAAGGUUUUGGACGAAUGUCACGGUCAUUUAAACUGCAAAAAUGAAAUGAAACAAACAUAUCUGUUGAUGCUCUUCAAACCGAGCUGCAGAGCACAGAGACGGUCUGAACUCCUCUGCUGUUUGCACUGAUUGAAACCUCAUUUAUCAAGCUUGCGUACGGCAGAAAACUUACGUACACCUUGCAAACGUAAGUUGCAACGUGAGGAUAAUCAUUUAUCAAUCUGCACGUGAGCGUACGCUACGACCAAAUCUCACGACAGGUCUGACAUCGUGUCCGCAGGUUUGAGUCAGUGUGGAUCUGCGGUGCAGCAAAUGUCUCAAAAUAAUUGAUAAACCUCAAACCUGUCAUUAAGCAGAAUCAGCCAGAUUUCAUUAAAGAUUAAGACGUAAAUAAAAAAAGAGGCAUGUAUAAGCAAAUCAUU